UCAGGUAACACUGAAUGGAGGACCGAACCGACUUACGUUGAAAAGUGAGCGGAUGAACUGAGGGUAGCGGAGAAAUUCCAAUCGAACCUGGAGAUAGCUGGUUCUCUCCGAAAUAGCUUUAGGGCUAGCCUCAAGUGAUGAUUAUUGGAGGUAGAGCACUGUUUGGACGAGGGGCCCCUCUCGGGUUACCGAAUUCAGACAAACUCCGAAUGCCAAUUAAUUUAACUUGGGAGUCAGAACAUGGGUGAUAAGGUCCGUGUUCGAAAGGGAAACAGCCCAGACCACCAGCUAAGGUCCCAAAAUAUAUGUUAAGUGGAAAAGGAUGUGGCGUUGCCCAGACAACUAGGAUGUUGGCUUAGAAGCAGCCAUCAUUUAAAGAGUGCGUAAUAGCUCACUAGUCGAGUGACACUGCGCCGAAAAUGUACCGGGGCUAAACAUAUUACCGAAGCUGUGGAUUGUCCUUUGGACAAUGGUAGGAGAGCGUUCUAAGGGCGUUGAAGCAUGAUCGUAAGGACAUGUGGAGCGCUUAGAAGUGAGAAUGCCGGUGUGAGUAGCGAAAGACGGGUGAGAAUCCCGUCCACCGAUUGACUAAGGUUUCCAGAGGAAGGCUCGUCCGCUCUGGGUUAGUCGGGUCCUAAGCUGAGGCCGACAGGCGUAGGCGAUGGAUAACAGGUUGAUAUUCCUGUACCACCUAUAAUCGUUUUAAUCGAUGGGGGGACGCAGUAGGAUAGGCGAAGCGUGCGAUUGGAUUGCACGUCUAAGCAGUAAGGCUGAGUAUUAGGCAAAUCCGGUACUCGUUAAGGCUGAGCUGUGAUGGGGAGAAGACAUUGUGUCUUCGAGUCGUUGAUUUCACACUGCCGAGAAAAGCCUCUAGAUAGAAAAUAGGUGCCCGUACCGCAAACCGACACAGGUAGUCAAGAUGAGAAUUCUAAGGUGAGCGAGCGAACUCUCGUUAAGGAACUCGGCAAAAUGACCCCGUAACUUCGGGAGAAGGGGUGCUCUUUAGGGUUAACGCCCAGAAGAGCCGCAGUGAAUAGGCCCAAGCGACUGUUUAUCAAAAACACAGGUCUCUGCUAAACCGUAAGGUGAUGUAUAGGGGCUGACGCCUGCCCGGUGCUGGAAGGUUAAGAGGAGUGGUUAGCUUCUGCGAAGCUACGAAUCGAAGCCCCAGUAAACGGCGGCCGUAACUAUAACGGUCCUAAGGUAGCGAAAUUCCUUGUCGGGUAAGUUCCGACCCGCACGAAAGGCGUAACGAUUUGGGCACUGUCUCAAC
rnacentral:rRNA from 1 species